rnacentral:rRNA from 1 species
UACAGAGGGGGCAAGCGUUAUUCGGAAUUAUUGGGCGUAAAGGGCGCGUAGGCGGCUUUGCAAGUGACGGGUGAAAUCCCUCGGCUUAACCGAGGAACUGCCUGUCAGACUGCAUGGCUUGAGACCAGGAGAGGUGAGUGGAAUUCCCAGUGUAGCGGUGAAAUGCGUAGAUAUUGGGAGGAACACCAGUGGCGAAGGCAGGUCUCUGGGCCUGUACUGACGCUGAGGAGCGAAAGCGUGGGGAGCGAACAGG